AUUGAACGCUGGCGGCAUGCUUUACACAUGCAAGUCGAACGGUAACAGGCCUUCGGGUGCUGACGAGUGGCGAACGGGUGAGUAAUGCAUCGGAACGUGCCCAAUCGUGGGGGAUAACGUAGCGAAAGUUACGCUAAUACCGCAUAAGCCCUGAGGGGGAAAGUGGGGGACCGCAAGGCCUCACGCGAAUGGAGCGGCCGAUGUCAGAUUAGCUAGUUGGUGGGGUAAAGGCCCACCAAGGCGACGAUCUGUAGCGGGUCUGAGAGGAUGAUCCGCCACACUGGGACUGAGACACGGCCCAGACUCCUACGGGAGGCAGCAGUGGGGAAUAUUGGACAAUGGGGGAAACCCUGAUCCAGCGACGCCGCGUGUGUGAAGAAGGCCUGCGGGUUGUAAAAGCACUUUCGGUGGGAACGAAAUAAUGCCGGGCCGAAUACCCCGGCAGGCUGACGUUACCCAAUGAAGAAGCACCGGCUAACUCUGUGCCAGCAGCCGCGGUAAUGUG
rnacentral:rRNA from 1 species